rnacentral:lncRNA from 1 species
CCUGUUAAUAAAAUUCGUGAGAAACUUUAUUUUCAAGAAUAAUGCAUCUGCUCACAGAAUUUGAAGAUAUAUUUGCUUCGUAAAGUUUUGAGUUGUGAUUAUGCUGAAGGAAACAUCCAAAUUACAAGAGAGAUUAGUUACAUGAAAGAAAAUCUACAAAAAAAUGCUAUAGUAAGUUAUUUCUUUGCAUUAACAUGAUCAAUGUUUAUCUGGUAACAAAACCAAGCUCAGUUGUGAAAUCCAAACUCCUAGGAAGAAUCUUUCCAUCUUGAGCUCAGUAUUGAUUAUUUCAUCCUGCUGAUUCAUUGUCAAUAUCUCUCCUCAAUCACCUUUACAGUGUUUUCGCAGACCAAGUCGAGAAAAUCCACAAGAGUUUGCUUCUCUUUAAAGCAUGUAUAUAUAUACAUACAUCAUCAUGUAGACUAAUUUACAAAACUCGACAUAUGCUUUCUUUGGGAUCAGUGCAAAUUUCAAGACUGCAUGUACUACUGUUAGAAAUAGGAGAUUAGAGUUCUUGAAACUGCAACUAGACCUUUCCAUCCGAUGAAGAAAGAUUGUUAUCAGAUUUUACCGUUGUAGAAUAUGAUCUGGAGACUGAAUUGGUGCCUUUAGAGGGGGAUGAGGAAGGAGCAGGCAGCUUCUUGGGCAACAUUUGUUCCCAGUAAGCCUUAGGCAAUCUUGAUGCGUCUGAUGAGAGAACAACGAAAGCAAGAAGAGUAAAUAGUAAGCACUUUUGCCUCCAAGAAACUAACAUGUUGAAGACUACCGUCAGGAGAUGCCUUGAGAGCUCUCCUUUAACAUUCCAAAGUAGCAGCUUUAGAGAGUUUGUGCCAGCAGACAAGUUGAGUAAUGUAAGGGAACUGCCAACUUCAUUGUUUGAGGAGAGAUGCGUCAAUGGCAGACAAGGGAUAAUUUGAUAAUACUAAACUGUUAAGCAGUUCAUGUUGUUGCUCUCAUUGUCUAAUAGGAAAUAGAAUCUGAGUGUAUGAGCAAGGAAUUUGAGGGAUUUUAGUAUUCAUCAGGGACCACUCAUUAGUUGGGGUGAGAAUGGGAUCAUACUACUACAUGAAAGCAAAUUCUGAUUAAAAUAUAUCAACUUAUUAAACCUAAUAUUG